rnacentral:rRNA from 1 species
AUGGUAAGGGCACACGGUGGAUGCCUUGGCACAGGAAGCCGACGAAGGACGUGACAAGCUGCGAUAAGCCACGGUUAGGAGCACAUAUCCGCUUGACCCGUGGAUCUCCGAAUGGGCGAACCCGGCGGGGGCCAUACCCCGCCGCCGCGCGCUGAACACAUAGGCGCGCCGGAGGCAACCCGGGGAACUGAAACAUCUAAGUACCCGGAGGAAGAGAAAUCAAACGAGAUUCCCCUAGUAGUGGCGAGCGAACGGGGACCUAGGGCAAACCGCCGGUUGCUUCGGCGCCGGCGGGGUUGUAGGACCACCCACAUGGCAGUCACAAACCCCCGCGGAAGCGGAACGGCCUGGGAAGGCCGGCGAGACAGGGUUAGAGCCCCGUACGCGAAUCCGAGGGGGCUGCCGGGUGGCACCUGAGUACUGCCGGACACGUGAAACCCGGUGGGAAGCCGGGGGGACCACCCUCCAACCCUAAAUACUCUCCUGUGACCGAUAGUGGACAAGUACCGUGAGGGAAAGGUGAAAAGCACCCCGGGAGGGGAGUGAAAUAGUACCUGAAACCGUGUGCCUACAAGCAGUCGGAGCAGUGCUUGCACUGUGACGGCGUGCCUUUUGUAGAAUGAGCCAGCGAGUUACGGCGUGUGGCGAGGUUAAGCUAGCAAGCGAGCCGCAGCGAGAGCGAGUCUGAACAGGGCGCUCAGUCGCACACCGUAGACGCGAAGCCGGGUGAGCUAUCCAUGGGCAGGCUGAAGCGGGGGUAAGACCCCGUGGAGGGCCGAACCCACCUAGGUUGAAAACUGGGGGGAUGACCUGUGGAUAGGAGUGAAAGGCCUAUCAAACCCGGAGAUAUCUCGUUCUCCCCGAAAUAGCUUUAGGGCUAGCCUCGGACGUUUACCUGCGGAGGUAGAGCACUGAAUGGUCGCGGGGGCCUCACCGCCUACCAAGACCAAUCAAACUCCGAAUGCCGCAGGCCCAGAGUCCGGGAGUCAGAACAUGUGGGCUAAGCCGUGUGUUCGAAAGGGAAACAGCCCAGACCGCCCGCUAAGGUCCCCAAAUCCGUGCUAAGUGGCAAAGGAUGUGCGUUUGCUCAGACAACCAGGAUGUUGGCUUAGAAGCAGCCAUUCAUUCAAAGAGUGCGUAAUAGCUCACUGGUCGAGUGGACAUGCGCCGACAAUAUACGGGGCUAAGCACGGUACCGAAGCGGCGGACUGUUUUUAACAGUGGUAGGGGAGCUUUCCGUCUGGGGCGAAGCCGCGGGACGACCCGCGGUGGACCGGCCGGAAGUGAGAAUGCUGGCAUGAGUAACGAGAGGGGCGUGAAAAACGCCCCCGCCGUAAACCCAAGGUUUCCGGGGCAAGGCUAAUCCUCCCAGGGUCAGUCGGGAGCUAAGGCGAGGCCGGAAGGCGUAGCCGAUGCACAGCAGGUGGACAUUCCUGCACCUCCGACGCGACGCUAUCACCGACGGGGCGACGAAGAAGGGUAGCUCAGCGGGGUUCUGGACGUCCCCGUGAGGCCACGUAGGCCGAGAGGUAGUGAAACGCGCCUCUCGCGAAGGCUGAGGUGGCGGACGAAACGAUUGAGCGAAGUGAGCGAGCCCAUGCUUCCGAGAAAAACCCCUAGGGAGCCGCUAGGAGCCCGUACCGCAAACCGACACAGGUGGGUGGGUAGAACAUACCAAGGCGAUCGGGAGAACUAUGGUUAAGGAACUCGGCAAAACUGCCCCGUAACUUCGGGAGAAGGGGUGCCGGCCUGGGUGGAGGGACUUGCUCCCCGAGCCAGGGUCGGCCGCAGCGAAGAGGUCCAAACGACUGUUUAUCAAAAACACAGGACUCUGCUGAAGUCGUAAGACGACGUAUAGGGUCUGACGCCUGCCCGGUGCCGGAAGGUCACGAGGAGCUGUCAGCGCGAGCGAAGCAGCGAAUCUAAGCCCCGGUAAACGGCGGCCGUAACUAUAACGGUCCUAAGGUAGCGAAAUUCCUUGUCGGGUAAGUUCCGACCUGCACGAAAGGCGUAACGAUUUGGACGCUGUCUCAACCAUAGACCCGGUGAAAUUGCACUAGUCGUGAAGAUGCGACUUACCCGCGGAAGGACGGAAAGACCCCGUGAACCUUUACUGCAGCUAGACAUUGGCUGCCGGUUCGCCGUGUAGAGGAUAG